GAGAAUGGUUAUUUUGGAACAACUUUGUUUAAUAUUAAACUUGGGUUACAACAUUUACAAUAUAUUAAUGAAAACUAUUCUUUAGACCGUGUACACACAAAAAGGACAACAGGUCAUGGAAUCGAGGUUGGAAGAAAAAAAAAUAUAAAAAAUUGAUAACAAACAGUAACAAACAUGUGCUUGUGAUGAAAACAACAAAGAAACGCAAACAUUUUGUUCGAAUGUUUAGAAUUCAGAAACACCACCUCCCCCAUUGCUGAAAAAUAAAAUUGAAAAAAAGUUUCAAUAACGAAAACAUCAUAAAAAAAGUUAAUAAAAAAGUAUAAAUGAAAAAAAUCAGCUUUAUUCAGUAAAGAAAAGAACACAUAAAAAUUAAUAUCAUAAAUAAAAGAAAGAAAAAUAAACAACUAUUAUAUAAAAAUAUAAAAAAAUAAUGUUAAAAUAUAACGUUAUUUGUGACAAGAAAAACCACAUGAGCUGAUACACUUGACAUUUCAAUGAAUUCAUUUUAUGUUACAACUUAGACUCUUGCUGAGAGAAAAACAGCAACAUCCUGUACGAAAUAUCUUUUAUGCAACACGAGGAUCAAAUCCUUCAAAAAAUGGAACAACUUUUAAGCAAAAGUCAGCCUGAAGUCAAUUAAAAAAAGAAAAAAAGUGAAAGGACGAGAAACGGAGAUUAAACAGUAAUAUUUUUGUGAAUAUUACGAAAGCUUAACAUCGAUUCGUACAUUCAAUAAAAAAACAACAGAAAGACAAAGAAGUAAACAGAAAAGCAAGAUGGCGAAAUAUAUAUUUUUGAUGUUUGUGUUAUAUUUUCUAUCGCAGACGAUUUUGAGCUAUCCAGCCAGAAUGGGAUUGCUACAGGAGAAACACAAAAACGCUUAUCGGCAAGACACGUUAAAAACGAUCAAAUAUACCCCUAUUAUCAAUCAAUGUUUGGAGUACUGUGUCGAAAUGAGCAGAUGUUACGCGUUGUCGUUUUCUACUUCGGCACAGAAAUGUCUGCUUCAUACAAAAGGCGGGAAAAAGAAGUUCUCCCUCGUACAUGAUAGCGAUUACAACUACUUCGAAAUAAAAUUCGUAUGAGUGCUGGAAAGAGAAGUGUAUUAUAUUAUUAAUAAAAAGAAAGAUAUAUAGCAUGUAAAUAGAAAAUAAAUAGUGGAAUAUCAUAGCACAAAUUUUUGUGUUGUUCUUAGUUAAAAUUAUAAUAGAUUAAAAAAGAGUGCAUAAAAUUGAUUUGGUAAAAAAGACAUUUAACUCUGUUGAACACAAAAAAAUUGUCAAGGAAAAAAAAAGCACGUUGCACCGCCACCAGCGAGGAAAAAGAAAGAAAAAAGCCGAUAUUUAACUUUGCUAAGUCUUCCUCACAACUUUCUUAAUUAUUUUUUUCGCAGCAAACCAGAAACAUGUGUGACUAUUUUGUACAUCGUGAAGCGGUUUUCCAAUUCCACAAAUAUGAUCAAUACAAAAAGUAGGAGUCGAACUUUCUUUUGUAUCAAUCGAUGUCGAUCGAUGAGACCGAUUACAUUCAAGUUGAAACCCUUUUUAAGAGACUGAUUAGUCGCCCACUUAAAAACUUCAGUUUAAAUUUUAGAAUUGUUAAAAUAUUAGGGUUCAGCAAAUAAAUAACGUUGUUUUUGUUUG